rnacentral:rRNA from 1 species
GUGAGGAAUUUUCCGCAAUGGGCGAAAGCCUGACGGAGCAAUGCCGCGUGAAGGAUGAAGGCCUAUGGGUUGUAAACUUCUUUUCUCAGAAAAGAAUUAUGACGGUAUCUGAGGAAUAAGCAUCGGCUAACUCUGUGCCAGCAGCCGCGGUAAGACAGAGGAUGCAAGCGUUAUCCGGAAUGAUUGGGCGGAAAGCGUCUGUAGGUUGUUUAAAAAGUAUUCUGUCAAAGAUUAGGGCUUAACCCUAGAUAGGCAGAAUAAACUUUUAAGCUAGAGUUUGAUAGAGGCAGAGGGAAUUCCCGGUGGAGCGGUGAAAUGCGUAGAUAUCGGGAGGAACACCAAAGGCGAAGGCACUCUGCUGGGCCAAUACUAACACUGAGAGACGAAAGCGAGGGGAGCAAAUGGGAUUAGAAACCCUGGUAGUCC